CCUACGGGUGGCAGCAGUGGGGAAUAUUGCACAAUGGGGGAAACCCUGAUGCAGCGACGCCGCGUGAGUGAAGAAGGAAUUCGUUAUGUAAAGCUCUAUCAGCAGGGAAGAAAAUGACGGUACCUGAGUAAGAAGCCCCGGCUAACUACGUGCCAGCAGCCGCGGUAAUACGUCGGGGGCAAGCGUUAUCCGGAUUUACUGGGGGUAAAGGGAGCGUAGACGGCAGUGCAAGUCCGGAGUGAAAGGCGGGGGCGCACACCCCGGACUGCUCUGGAAACUGUACGGCUGGAGUGCAGGAGAGGUAAGGGGAAUUCCUGGUGUAGCGGUGAAAUGCGUAGAUAUUAGGAGGAACACCAGUGGCGAAGGCGGCUUACUGGACUGUAACUGACGCUGAGGCUCGAAAGCGUGGGGAGCAAACAGGAUUAGACACCCGGGUAGUC
rnacentral:rRNA from 1 species